UGCCAGCCGCCGCGGUAAUACGGAGGGUGCAAGCGUUGUUCGGAAUUAUUGGGCGUAAAGCGCGUGUAGGCGGUUCGUUAAGUCUGAUGUGAAAGCCCGGGGCUCAACCGUGGGAGUGCAUUUGAAACUGUAUAACUUGAGUACUGGAGGGGGUAGUGGAAUUCCCGGUGUAGAGGUGAAAUUCGUAGAUAUCGGGAGGAAUACCGGUGGCGAAGGCGACUACCUGGCCAGAUACUGACGCUCAUGUGCGAAAGCGUGGGGAGCAAACAGGAUUAGAUA
rnacentral:rRNA from 1 species